GUUUUAAUAAUUUAAUAAAAAUAUUGGUCUUGUAAAUCAAACAUAAAGUUCAACUUUUUAAAACA
rnacentral:tRNA from 1 species